CGCUUCUGCUCUCCUCUCUACUCUUUUCAGAGCACGGCUCCUUUAAGUCCAGGAGAAGCUGGUUUGCAGAGGAAGUCCGACCAGACACUGAGCAGAGUGAAUGGCUGUGCCGAUCUAGCCACACCUAUUUCACAUGUUUCUUUAGUGUCUUUCAGCUUGCCUAUUCGUCCAUCCCUGCCUGAUUUGUUCUUAGAUUUGCCCCCAAGAUGCUGGUCUUGGCUUGUCCUAGUUUGAACUUGGUGUCUCUGGCGAUUGACUCACGUUCUGACCUCCACCCAUCCCCAAUUCUGCUUUUCUACUCUUUGGCGUCUCCAAGCACCUGACCUCAGCUCAACCUGCCUCUGGCCUUGUUUCUCCUGCCUGACACCAACAGCUGGAAAGAACCCUGCCCUUCUAUGAGGAGAGAGAUGAGGCUCAGUGUGGUUUACCGGAAAUAGAGCUUGCAUUAUGGGAGGGAACAAACAGUCUCCAGGUGAGAAAUUAUGGGAACUGUCACACCAAAUCAGCUGGUCGCCCUUAUGUCAUGGGAUCCGGACCAGGAGAAGAAGGCUGGCCGGGCGGAGUGCAUGUGAUCAGCGUGUGACAGGCCGUGCAUCCAGCAUCCUGAUGGCACCGGCUCUCCUGGCCCAAAUAACCACAAAAAGGAACAGAUUUCAGACAGGCA